GUAAGCCAUGAUCACACCACUGGGCAAUCCAGCCUGGGUGACACAGCAAGACCCUUUCUCUAAACAAAACAAAACACUCUGGGCUGGGAAUGGUGUUGGUAAAUAACGGACACCAAAAAGGAGGCAAGCAAGUAAUGAGGCCUGAAGAUUACUGAAGACCCACCACCUGGAAAGUCCAACUCAGUGGUUCUUAGGUGUUCGGGAGGGGCUCACUGAAGUCUCGACCUCCAGGGCUGAAGCAGUGCUACCGCCUCAGUCUCCCGAGUGGCUGGGACUACAGGGUGCACCACCAUGCCUAGCUAAUUUAAUUUUUUGUAGAGAUGGGGUUUUGCUAUGUUGGCCAGACUAGUCUCGAUCUCUUGGCCUCAAGUGAUCCUCCCACCUCAGUCUCUCAAAGUGCUGGUAUUGCAGGUGAGAGCCACUGUGCCCCGCCUAUUGUUUGGUUUUGUUGUUUGUUUCUUGCUUCCUCAAACUCAUAACUUGCCAUUUUGUUCAAGGGCCACCCAUUCACAGAACAGUGUGCCUGGGGCUCCUCCAGCUGGCUUCACACAAUUAGCUAUUUACCAAAGCAGAAUUCACCUGUGUGAUUCUUGAAUCAUUAGGCUAAAGGACAGGGCCAUCCAAAUCUUUCCUGCUUGAACAGAAAUUACACUUUCUCAGCACAAAACAGGCAUUUCAGCCCUAGUCUUCAAGUAGUAAUGGGAAAAUCAGAGAAUGUUCUUGGGAUAUGCAGUGGGUGCAUCUGGCACAAGGGCCACGGAAGAGAAAUACUUUAGGGUUCGGGUCACUAGAGUUCAGGGUUCAAAGGAAUUAAUGGAACGUGAACUGGGGCUGAUUCUGCCAUUCUUCUGACUGUAACUACAAAGUUUAUACAUUUCUCUCCCUGGAAAACUUUCUUUCCUAUCAAAAGGGAAAGGAAAACCAACCACUAUUUCUCCAAAAGCUAUUCUCUUGAAGAACCAGAAUCUUGCAUUAUCUGGAUAGUUUCUAGAGAAACUAUGCAGAUUUUCACCCUUAGGGACUCUUUAAGCCUUAGGGUUUAAAAACCACUAGGCUGCUUCCCAUUUUGCAGGGCAACUGGGACUACGGGACCCUAAUUAACUGAAAUCCUCACUGUACCAGAUGUGGAGGGCAGCUGGUGGUAGCGGAUGGCCAGAUGGCAGUAAAUCUCCCUCACCAAGGCUUACACCAAGGCUGUUGUUCACCGGCAGUAGAGCAGCUUAAUUUCAGUUCCUUUUUAUUUAUCCUGCUUAGAAACGGCAAAAGAACGUCAGAUGAGGAAUAUGGAGGAGGA
rnacentral:lncRNA from 10 species